rnacentral:pre_miRNA from 1 species
GGUGUUUCUUUGGCAGUGUCUUAGCUGGUUGUUGUGAGUCAUAAUGAGGGAAGCAAUCAGCAAGUAUACUGCCCUAGAAAUGCUGC